rnacentral:lncRNA from 1 species
CAGGCCUUGCCUGUGUCAGCGAAUAUCACCAGAUGCCACGUGUACCCCUACCCUAUUCUGAACCACACCUGUGUAAUCGAUAAAUACGGAUGGUCCUGGUUCCUUGCUGUCCUCACCACAUGCUAGGUGUAGUCCAUCCCACUUCCUUGGUUUCUGUUAGCAGGCUGUCCAUCUCAGUAGCUGUGCUGGGGGAGUACAGGAAGUGAUCCUUGUGUUCAUCCACUUGGUAGAGGAAUGGCAAGGUGUAUGCCCGUGUGUCAAAGUAUCAACAGAAUUAGCCCAAGUCAGUACAAUGUCACAUGAAAAUCUGCUUUUACAAUUUUGGGAGGAGGUUGAAAGUGAGUCAUCAGGUGACUCAGGUACUGAUGAUGACUUGGACCAUGCACGCCAAAGAAAUUGUGACAAUGAGAUGGAGCAAGACAUACAGAUAGAGAAAUACAGAAUGAUACAGAUCAGGAAGAAAACAGUAAUGUAAAUAAAUAUUUGACUAGUCAAAAUGGUACAAAAUGGUCAUGUAUACUUGAACGAUCCAGUGUUAGAACUAGGUCAGAAAAUGUUAUUGGGUGCUUGCCAAGGG